GCCUCUUUAUAUAUUUCCAGCUCUCUCGCCAAAUGACUUGAGAGCCUUCUUAUCAGUAUCUACAUCUUAAGAGUACCAAAUUCUGAAAACCCCCAUCAUAUGGAUUUUUAAAAAGAAUAGUAGUGAAGGAUCAACUAUCGAUAUAAGGUACUACGACAUGAUGUCUUGUAACAGCUGCUACCUCCUCUACAUUGUUUUUAAAUUCUUUCGCGGGAAUUAAAACAUAAAUGAACCAUAUAACUCAUAGAGACAAGCAUGAAGCUCUGAUGCCCUCCGUCAUAAAAGUUUCAAAAUGAGAACCUUGUAAAUAAAACAUGAAAUAGUAAUAGCUAAAUGAACAGGCAAUUGACUUUGGGAAAAUUACCUUCUGUAAUUUCAGAUACAUCAAUU
rnacentral:lncRNA from 1 species